GGUGACCAUGAAUGUUCCUCUAAUUACACACUUAGCAUGGAGAAAUUUUAAGAGACUUGGAUGGAAUUUUCAACUGUACAUGAUUGUGUCCGCCUCUGCAUCCACCAAGCAUCAAAGAUGAAUCAAAAUGGAUUUUAAAAAAUGUGAAUGAUCCAUGUGUGAGGAUUCAUGCAGAGUUCUGUAUGCCUUUUUUUUAACAAUGUUUUUAAAAGAUUUGAAAGAUUUAAAUAAAAGUAAUCAAUGACUUUAU